rnacentral:misc_RNA from 1 species
UUUCCGUAGGUGAACCUGCGGAAGGAUCAUUAAUGAAUGAAUUUAGAGUCGGGUUGUUGCUGGCCUCCCCCAGAGGCAUGUGCACGCCUGCUCUUUCAUCCACACACCCCUGUGCACUUGUGAGACGGAGGUCUUUUCCUUUAAAUAGGAUGGUUUCCGUCUGCUAUCACAUAAAAUCUAAUUUAUUUAAAACUGAAUGUAAUCUUAUGUAACGCAUCUAAUACAAAGUUUCAACAACGGAUCUCUUGGCUCUCGCAUCGAUGAAGAACGCAGC